UUUCCGUAGGUGAACCUGCGGAAGGAUCAUUACAGUGUUCCCUGCCCUUCGGGGUAGGAUCGCCACCCUUGAUUAUUUAUGAGUGUUGCUUUGGCGGGCCUCGCGGCCUGGCCGCGCCCCAGCUUCGGCGGGGGAGCGCCCGCCAGAGGUUUCUACAAACCUGAUUAUUAGUGUCGUCUGAGUACUAUAUAAUAGUUAAAACUUUCAACAACGGAUCUCUUGGUUCUG
rnacentral:misc_RNA from 1 species